ACGCUCGACACCUACGGGAGCAGCAGUGGGGAAUAUUGCACAAUGGGGGAAACCCUAAUGCAGCGACGCCGCGUGGAGGAAGAAGGUCUUCGGAUUGUAAACUCCUGUUGUUGGGGAAAAAGAGGAUGGUACCCAACAAGGAAGUGACGGCUAACUACGUGCCAACAGCCGCGGUAAUCUGAGCGGGCUGGCAAGGC
rnacentral:rRNA from 1 species